rnacentral:rRNA from 1 species
UACAGAGGUCCCGAGCGUUGUUCGGAUUCAUUGGGCGUAAAGGGUGCGUAGGCGGCGGGGAAAGUCUGAUGUGAAAUCCUGGGGCUCAACCCUGGAACUGCAUUGGAUACUUCCUUGCUAGAGUACUGGAGAGGAAACUGGAAUUUACGGUGUAGCAGUGAAAUGCGUAGAGAUCGUAAGGAAGACCAGUGGCGAAGGCGGGUUGCUGGGCCGACACUGACGCUGAUGCGCGAAAGCCAGGGGAGCGAACGGG